UUUGUCCAACAAGAUGCCAAGAGAAGGUGGUCAGGGGAAUUUGCAUCACAGAUAAUUCCUUUAAACCGGAUGUAGCAAAUUGUCUGGUGUUCUAUACCCCUAAAUCUUUAUGCCCUGACCAGAUGACAUCAGUCCGCAUCUUCCAAUUGAGCAGUAAUGUGCGGGCUUGUCCCUCUGGCAUGUUCGUCGUCUAUCUAUCAACUAUAUGUGGUGAU